GACAGAGGUGCCAAGCGUUAUGCGGAAUCACUGGGCUUAAAGCGUGUGUAGGCGGCUGCCUAAGUCCCUUGUGAAAUCCCACGGCUCAACCGUGGAACUGCUUGGUAUACUGGGUGUCUUGAGCCAUCUAGGGGCUACCGGAACAAAUGGUGGAGCGGUGAAAUGCGUAGAUAUCAUUUGGAACGCCAAUGGUGAAAACAGGUAGCUGGGGAUGUGCUGACGCUGAGACACGAAAGCCAGGGGAGCAAACAGG
rnacentral:rRNA from 1 species